rnacentral:rRNA from 1 species
AUUGAACGCUGGCGGCAGGCUUAACACAUGCAAGUCGAGCGGAGAUGAGGUGCUUGCACCUUAUCUUAGCGGCGGACGGGUGAGUAAUGCUUAGGAAUCUGCCUAUUAGUGGGGGACGACAUUCCGAAAGGAAUGCUAAUACCGCAUACGUCCUACGGAAGAAAGCAGGGGAUCUUCGGACCUUGCGCUAAUAGAUGAGCCUAAGUCGGAUUAGCUAGUUGGUGGGGUAAAGGCCUACCAAGGCGACGAUCUGUAGCGGGUCUGAGAGGAUGAUCCGCCACACUGGGACUGAGACACGGCCCAGACUCCUACGGGAGGCAGCAGUGGGGAAUAUUGGACAAUGGGGGGAACCCUGAUCCAGCCAUGCCGCGUGUGUGAAGAAGGCCUUAUGGUUGUAAAGCACUUUAAGCGAGGAGGAGGCUACUGAGACUAAUACUCUUGGAUAGUGGACGUUACUCGCAGAAUAAGCACCGGCUAACUCUGUGCCAGCCGCCGCCGUAAAAC